GAGAAGAAAAAUCCCAACAGAUACUACUUUGGUUUUCCGCUUUAACUUGAAGACCGGAUUUACUGUUUUUAAUCACCGUAGUUAAAAUGCUAAGAAAACCAGACGAGCCAGGGGACAGCUGAUGUUCCUGCGCACUUCACACACAACCACUUGGCGGUGCAUGUGCCUGACGACAACAACCAUUCGCAGUUUCCCGCUCAGUAGCGGACUCUCAUUCUGACAUACCAUGCUAGAUCGCCAUGCAUUGCUCAAGGGAACUACACGGAAAAUAACUUCCACUAUCCGAUGAACAAACCACACACCAGGCUCACCCGCUGCUUCUUUUCUCCAGAUUCAUUGCGACCUUUGAUGUCAAACAGGACCUGUGUUUGCUUAACUACGAUUCCAUUGGCGCCCCGAUGUUCUGAUUUGUAACAUCGGAUGGAUCGGCUCUUCUUUUUUUCUGAAUGAUCUGUUUUCCUGAAACAUACUCAAGUUUUCCUGAAGAUUCUCUGUCUGGAUUUCAGUUCUGGUCACAUGGACGUCGAGAAUUUUGACUCGUCAGCAGUUUUAACAUGAUUGAUACGACACACGGGAAAUAUUCAGCAAGCUGGAACCAAAACAAACAUCGGUCCAUCUCACUGGAAUAUUAAUAAUCAUAAAAACUGCUCUCCGUAGGUGAAGCUGGAUUUUAGAAACCUGCAUUGUGUGUGUCUGCUUGUCAGUGGGUCAGCAGCAGCAGAGCAGCAGCAGAGCAGCAGCAGAGCAGCAGAGAGCGAACACAAAGGGACGUUUGUCCAUAACAGGAGCCAGAAACAACUGAAUUAAACCCUGAGACCUACAACAUCUUCUCCACUCAGAGAAACAACCUCAACUUCCAAGUUUCAGGCCUUUAUCGGAUGCUCUCCUCCACAAAUAUGUAUAAUAAGAAACAAUGAAUCUCACAGUUUAAACUACAGGGACAUAAAAAUACAAGGCUCAGAGUUCCAUGAGAAUUAUCGAAGCAGAAUGGGAAUCAAACAGGAAACCCUUGUUGAGUUAAGGUCCCAUUUUACUAACUGACGUAAACUGGACGGACUCAAAUAUAAUGGAAAUUCAACUGCACGUGUCACGUGCAAUAAGUAUUGACAACUUUGUUUGUUUGGGUUUUUUAAAGCAGUCAAAGACAUAUGAGGAACAAAAAGGAGACAUAAGAGAGGGAAGGAGGCGACAUAAAAGAGGAAGAUGACAAGGAAGAGGAAGGAGAAAAGAGGAAGCAGAAAUCAGAUUGGCUGAAGCUUUUCCACAACAUACUCCUGUGAAGUUUCCAGAAUCUCAUGGGUGUUAAAGCUCUUCAAUCCUAAUACCUAAUUAACAUGUGCCGUCUUAUGAGGGAUUACAACCGCCUUCCAUCAAACCACCCACCAUCAACGUCCUCGACAGGCACGUGACCAGGGUCAAGGAGGAAGAGGAGGAAGAGGAGAAGGAGGGACGACCUCGGCUUCCUAUGCUGCUUAUUUCCACCUCCUCCUCCUCCUCUUCCUCUACCACCACUCAAGUCCAUCUCAGCUAAAGCCUUCUUCCUCAACUUCUUAAUCCCAACAUCUCUGGGCUACUGCUCUUUGCAGGGAAGCAUCCUGACCUUUGCAUUGCACAUCCAGAUAGGCUAAAAAACAUGUGGGAGAGGAUUUCCCACCCUAUCUUCCACCAGGUUCAGGAGCAGGCCUGAGUGGCUGGGUGGGCUGAUAGACGAGGAAGAAGGCAAACCUCUUCUCACCCCUCCUCAAAACUGGUGUGAUCUAAGGCUCCUACUGUGAACUUGCAGCAUCAUGUCCAGGGUUUCAGAAUCGGUAUCGCGAAGGGAAGAUUGUAUCGGAACAUCUUUAAGUUUUAGACUGCGGGUCAAGCAGAAAAAUGGGAUGCCGUUAAACUGUUUCCUAAGAACAAACCCUGCAGGAGUUAAGAGCUGAAUGUGUCUCUCUCUACCUUUUGUUUAAAAAAAAAGAAAUGAAUAAAUGAUGAGCGAAAAGAUGACAAAUUGGAAACAAAACACAGAAAUCCUGCAGCUGAAGUGUGAAUGCAUGAACAGAGGAUCACCAGCAGCUGCAGCAGCAGAGUCACUGCAUCAGUCCACACAGUGAGCAUCAAAGAACAUGACCCAGAUACUGUCUGAGGCUGGGUCUAAUUUUAACUUCACUGUAUAGCAGGCAGAGCUGGUCACUGCUAACACACUCAUUAGCAAAGAAUGUGGCAUUUGUGCAAGUAAAGAGAUCGCUGUUAUAACUUCUGUAAUCUAUGAUACUUGUGUGUAUUUGUUUGUUUUUUUGCGAUAAAAACAUCAAAAUAUAAUAUCUGCUAUCAUGCUCUACAUAUUGCUGUAAAUGCACAGGCAGUUCUUUCACUUUAUGUCUUGCAGCAUCCCUUCUUUACUGAAACUUUUCUGACUUGUGCAUUAAGAAGAAUGAACAGCUCAGAUCAUUAUCGAGCCAUUUAAUCAAGAUAAACACCGUAACUAAAUUUGUGCGGCGGUAUUUCUAGCGAUCAAUCUACUAAGAGGGUUUUGACCACAUUGACGCCAUAAAUACUGAUAAAAAGCAGCUGGAGCUGUAAGAAGACUUUGUGAUAAACAUUUAAAACCAUCGGAGAAAAGCAUUUAAAGCUCAGCUUUGAUCAAAUUUGAAGUGAUUCCAGAUCCAGCACUCACAGCUCUUAAAUCUUGGUCAGAAAAUGAUUUAGUGUGAAGAGAAAUCACUUUGGUGCCUGGUGUUAAGUGAAAAGAUUCAGUAUUUGUUCGUCUGCCACUGAACACAAGUGCGUGGACACAUAAAACUCCGCCAUUAGAAAUCGUGACACAGCCGAGUUCCUGUUGCUGCUAUCAGUGCCUUCCACUUCUUCUGAUUGGAAAGGUCACAGUAAGUGUUGACUAUAGGAAAAGUUCCUGGUGGAGACCUGGCUUGCUUUACCGCCGCUGCUGUUGUUGUUGUUGUUGUUAGUCGUGGCCGCGCUUCAUUUCCUGGGCCGUGAAAGGUCACAGCAGACACGGCGAACAUUCCAGUUUGUAUAGCCGGAAGGUUGGUGAGCCAGCUUUGCAUGAGUCUAUUCCCUAUGACAGCUUUGUAGUUCCUCCACUUUACAGAGAGGGAGUCGGACUAUAAAUAUCUCCAAUAGAACUGGAAUAGGUGCAAACAAUAGAAAUUGUGUUACUGUAAGACGACGGAUUUCUGCUGAUACUUAAUAAUUUGAUUGAUCUUUUAUUAGUAUCUAUUAUUUUAACAUACCUUUUUCUUUAUAUAGCUUGAGUGUUCUUUUUAGGAUGCUAAAGCUAAAAAACUUACAUAAUGAACAAAACUGUCAAUAUUUAAUUCGCCUCUUCUUCUAAAAUAUAAAAUGUUUACACCUUUUUAAAAUUAAAUAAUUAUAUGUUGCAUAUUUUGGAGCCAUGGAUUAAUAUUUGUAAUUUAGUCUCUAAAACUUAAAAUUGUAAUAAAUUUAGAGACUAUUUUCAGUUUUUCAGUGUUUGUCAUUUUUAUUUAUUUUUAUCGCAGAGCCUGCACAAGAGGAAACAUGGUUAAACUUAUGUAAUCGAUAAUUUGUUGAUUCAUUGAUAAAAUAAGUAAAGAAAAUCAAAUGUCAUGCAGGAUUGAAUGUCUUUUUUUGGAGCUGUUGUAGACAACAGGUCAAUUUCCAGCAUUUAAUGCAGGGCCAGUGUGAACCAGAUGUGUGAAUAUCAACAUGUCAAUGAAAUACUCAAUCAAUAACAACAUUUCUAUUGUUUUGCACCUAUUCCAGUUCUAUGGUUCAUGUAUGUUCCUAAUGCUCCAGAUGUGGACACUGUGUUGUAGAAAGCUCAUAACGUGCACUUAGACACACGUAAACCAGGCACAUGGUUGCGUGUGCUCAGUGAAGUGUUGCGCUGCGUUUCCUCAGGGAGCUGCAGUGAUGCUGCUCUGCUGAUGACUGGCUGCUGGUGGAGGGCCACACCCAGACAACAGGAACAACAACAAGCAUCUUUCCUGUGAUAAGGUCGGGAUGAAGAAAAGCAAAGGAAAUGAAACGGCUGUUUUUUAUCUGUACAUCAUUUGCACUUUAUCUCCUGUUUCCAGCUCCUCGAAUAUGAGGCUUUACGAUGAGAAUGAUAAUCAAUAGUUGCAUUGCUGCUGCCGCUUAAUCAGAUCGAAGCAAUAGUAUUACAUCACACCCACUCCUACUUCUCGUCACUGGUUUCCUGUGAGAUCAACAACUAA